rnacentral:rRNA from 1 species
UACGUAGGGGGGCAAGCGUUGUCCGGAAUCAUUGGGCGUAAAGAGCUCGUAGGCGGCUUGUUGCGUCAGCUGUGAAAACCCGCGGCUUAACCGUGGGCCUGCAGCUGAUACGGGCAAGCUAGAGUUCGGUAGGGGAGACUGGAAUUCCGUGGUGUAGCGGUGAAAUGCGCAGAUAUCAGAGGAACACCCGUGGCGAAGGCGGCUCUCUGGGACGGUACUGACGCUGAGACGCGAAAGCGUGGGGAGCGAACAGG